AGUUGAUAUCAAUAGUGGAUAUAGCCUUUCCAAAGGGCUAGUUGGUUUAACUCUUGGGAAAGAAAGCAAAGGAGGAGGUAGAGUGAGGCUCGUCUAACCUCUCCUCCUGUCAUGGCAGGGAACUCAGUUUUCAAGGUUUCUUGAGGUGGUCCUCUUGGACAAGAGGGGAUCUGUUCACUUGGGGGGCUUAGGAUUUCAUUUUUAGGUCUCAGUAUGUAUUAAAAAACCCACAGAGUAUAUAGAGUUUAGUACUAUCUGUGGUUUCAGGCAUCCACUGAGAGUCUAGGAAUGUAUCCCCCUCAGAUAAGGAGAUACUACUGUAAAUAUAAUCAUAUAAUUUAAGUAUAUUCUGUUCAAUUUCUUUCAUAUACCAUAAUGUUUUAAAAUAUUUAGUUGUUUUUUUGUUAGCCUUAUAUAGUAUAUGUAUGCUACAAUUUGUUCAUUUACUAGUUGAUAGUUCAAAUGUUCUGUAUUUUAGUAUCAAGAAUGAUGCUGCUAUGAACAUUUAUGUACAACUCUUUGGAUGAAUAUAUGCUAUCUUUUCUCUUUGCAAGAGUAGCUCAGAGAACUCAAGAAAACUGUUUACUCACAUUAACCCUGUACUGCAAAAGUUACAGAUGAAGAGCCAGAUGAAAGAGAUCCAUGAGGCAAGACAUCGAGUCAUGAAUAUGGAAUGACUUCACCUGACUUCACUUGAAAUUCACUUAAUUUUCAACUCUGUUGGCUAUGAGAUUUCAAGAAGACUGGAUAUUGGAGAGAAUCAUAAUAAAUGCAAGUAUUGGACAUUCAACUGUCUAGUUCCAACGUGCCACUAUGGAAUA
rnacentral:lncRNA from 1 species